GAGUCUGACAGGCAAGGACAGCUUCUGGCUGAGAUAUUUCAUAAACUUUUUGCUGAUUUCUUCACAGGUGUCCUAAGAAAGCAUCUGUGUAGAGAUCAUUUGUUGGACCUGCAGCUGGACUGGUUGGUAAAGGACAACAGAAGAUCUGUCCAUGUAGAAAGGCAAGCUGGGAGGAUAUGGCCAUGAAGGAAAGAACAGAGAAGGAUCUGGACACGACGGAGGCACAGGGUGUUUGUGGGAGCUGUGGAGGAGCCGGUACGGCCAGGGAAUAGAGCAAGCCUCAGGAGAGUAGAAGUACCUGAAACUGAAAAUGCUUCUGCUUUGUGCAUGCCGAUACACGCACCAUGGCCUGUCUGCCUCUUCAUGCAGAGCAGCUUCUGUCUUGCAGGACGUUGGCGUCAAGACUUUGGCACAAGAACGACACAGCCAGCUACCCUUACAUAAUUCAGCAAGGAGAUUUCUCUGAGGAGACACAGCUAGAUGCUCUGACUGUUUUCAAGGUUUUCCACUUCUGCAUUCCUGUUGAGACUGAGAAGAAAUGUCUACAAAGCAUUUUAAAGGUCAUAUUUGUGCAUCCUAUUUGUACCCGUCUCCAUCUCUUGGCUUGAAAGGUGAAAUGAUGGUUCUUUAUUUUGCUUGCUGUCUUUAGUUGCUUUGAUUUCUGGGUUCUGUUCCGCUAAUUUAACUGCCGGGUCCCCUUAAUUCAGGGGAGUAUUCUUGUUUUUAAAAAGGUAGAGAAACCAUUAUCUGCGGCAUAUUCUAAAAAGCGUUCUUUGUAUUAAGCUUAUUUUCUGAAAACCUAAAUAUUUCAGUAACAUUAUUUAAACUACGCAUCAUUAUAUGCAUCACUGACAGCAUGAAUUAAACCAAAAGAGUUCAGGCUACUUUGUCUUCAUAGUAAAAGAAUAAAUAAAGGAUACUCAAGGAAUUGAGAGGAUUA
rnacentral:lncRNA from 1 species